rnacentral:rRNA from 1 species
CGGGACACGUGGUAUCCUGUCUGAAUAUGGGGGGACCAUCCUCCAAGGCUAAAUACUCCUGACUGACCGAUAGUGAACCAGUACCGUGAGGGAAAGGCGAAAAGAACCCCGGCGAGGGGAGUGAAAAAGAACCUGAAACCGUGUACGUACAAGCAGUGGGAGCACGCUUAGGCGUGUGACUGCGUACCUUUUGUAUAAUGGGUCAGCGACUUAUAUUCUGUAGCAAGGUUAACCGAAUAGGGGAGCCGAAGGGAAACCGAGUCUUAACUGGGCGUUAAGUUGCAGGGUAUAGACCCGAAACCCGGUGAUCUAGCCAUGGGCAGGUUGAAGGUUGGGUAACACUAACUGGAGGACCGAACCGACUAAUGUUGAAAAAUUAGCGGAUGACUUGUGGCUGGGGGUGAAAGGCCAAUCAAACCGGGAGAUAGCUGGUUCUCCCCGAAAGCUAUUUAGGUAGCGCCUCGUGAAUUCAUCUCCGGGGGUAGAGCACUGUUUCGGCAAGGGGGUCAUCCCGACUUACCAACCCGAUGCAAACUGCGAAUACCGGAGAAUGUUAUCACGGGAGACACACGGCGGGUGCUAACGUCCGUCGUGAAGAGGGAAACAACCCAGACCGCCAGCUAAGGUCCCAAAGUCAUGGUUAAGUGGGAAACGAUGUGGGAAGGCCCAGACAGCCAGGAUGUUGGCUUAGAAGCAGCCAUCAUUUAAAGAAAGCGUAAUAGCUCACUGGUCGAGUCGGCCUGCGCGGAAGAUGUAACGGGGCUAAACCAUGCACCGAAGCUGCGGCAGCGACGCU